rnacentral:pre_miRNA from 1 species
AAAUGCCUGGCUCCCUGUAUGCCAUUUGCAAAGCCCAUCAGGAAAUCGGUGGCCUUCGUGGAUGGCGUGCGAGGAGCCAUGCAUGU